rnacentral:rRNA from 1 species
UCGAUUUGGAGUUUGUUGCCUAGAGUGAUGGGCUCCGAAGCUAACGCGAUAAAUCGACCGCCUGGGGAGUACGGCCGCAAGGUUAAAACUCAAAUGAAUUGACGGGGGCCCGCACAAGCGGUGGAGCAUGUGGUUUAAUUCGAUGCAACGCGAAGAACCUUACCUGGUCUUGACAUCCACAGAAUCUUUCAGAGAUGAGGGAGUGCCUUCGGGAACUGUGAGACAGGUGCUGCAUGGCUGUCGUCAGCUCGUGUUGUGAAAUGUUGGGUUAAGUCCCGCAACGAGCGCAACCCUUAUCCUUUGUUGCCAGCGAUUAGGUCGGGAACUCAAAGGAGACUGCCGUUGAUAAAACGGAGGAAGGUGGGGACGACGUCAAGUCAUCAUGGCCCUUACGACCAGGGCUACACACGUGCUACAAUGGCGUAUACAAAGGGAGGCGACCUCGCGAGAGCAAGCGGACCUCACAAAGUACGUCUAAGUCCGGAUUGGAGUCUGCAACUCGACUCCAUGAAGUCGGAAUCGCUAGUAAUCGUGAAUCAGAAUGUCACGGUGAAUACGUUCCCGGGCCU